rnacentral:rRNA from 1 species
GAUGAACGCUGGCGGCGUGCCUAAUACAUGCAAGUCGAGCGAACAGACGAGGAGCUUGCUCCUCUGACGUUAGCGGCGGACGGGUGAGUAACACGUGGAUAACCUACCUAUAAGACUGGGAUAACUUCGGGAAACCGGAGCUAAUACCAGAUAACAUUUUGAACCGCAUGGUUCAACAGUGAAAGACGGUCUUGCUGUCACUUAUAGAUGGAUCCGCGCCGCAUUAGCUAGUUGGUAAGGUAACGGCUUACCAAGGCAACGAUGCGUAGCCGACCUGAGAGGGUGAUCGGCCACACUGGAACUGAGACACGGUCCAGACGCCUACGGGAGGCAGCAGUAGGGAAUCUUCCGCAAUGGGCGAAAGCCUGACGGAGCAACGCCGCGUGAGUGAUGAAGGUCUUCGGAUCGUAAAACUCUGUUAUUAGGGAAGAACAAAUGUGUAAGUAACUAUGCACGUCUUGACGGCACCUAAUCAGAAAGCCACGGCUAACUACGUG